AGCGAACGCUGGCGGCAGGCUUAACACAUGCAAGUCGAGCGGGCAUCUUCGGAUGUCAGCGGCAGACGGGUGAGUAACACGUGGGAACGUACCCUUCGGUUCGGAACAACUCUGGGAAACUGGAGCUAAUACCGGAUACGCCCUUAUGGGGAAAGGUUUACUGCCGAAGGAUCGGCCCGCGUCUGAUUAGCUAGUUGGUGGGGUAACGGCCUACCAAGGCGACGAUCAGUAGCUGGUCUGAGAGGAUGAUCAGCGACACUGGGACUGAGACACGGCCCAGACUCCUACGGGAGGCAGCAGUGGGGAAUAUUGGACAAUGGGCGCAAGCCUGAUCCAGCCAUGCCGCGUGAGUGAUGAAGGCCUUAGGGUUGUAAAGCUCUUUUGUCCGGGACGAUAAUGACGGUACCGGAAGAAUAAGCCCCGGCUAACUUCGUG
rnacentral:rRNA from 1 species